CCUGCAGCUCCCGCCUCCCGCUCGGACUCUCGAGCUCCCGCCCGCGCCCGGCGCCGGCACAGCCCCGAGGACGCGGGAGCCCGGCGCUCCCGUGCGUGUGCAUGUGCGUGGGCAGUGCCGCCUUCGGGCGCGCGCAGGCCGGGCGCUGCGUCUGCGGGGCUCUCCCGCGACUCCAGGGCGGGCGACCUGGGCACACCGGAGACAGCGAGACGCGCGCUUGCGGGCGUUGAGUCUUAGCUGCUACCGCUGCCACAUUUUUGUAUAUGGGGAAGUGGUAGGCGCUCAAUAAACAUUUGCAGAACAAAUGCAAAAAGUGACACGUUUCAUCCCCCAGUCCCGCAUGAGAAAGGGAUCACCCCUAAAGCUCUGGAUCCAGCCAGGGGCGCGCCCACGCUCCCGCACAUCCCCGGAAACUCGCAAGGAAAAGUCGGGGGGGCUGGAGGCUGUAGCUUAACCCUGGCAGUGGAGCACCUGGGCUCGGUUUCAUUUGCAGCUCCUCCCGAGAACUCGGAUGACUCAGGACUGUUUCCUACAUCCCUGUUCAGCAAAGUAAUGAUUCCACUACUGUGGAAGCAUCGUCGCGUCCCCUCUAACGCGGUGACGGACCUGGGAGGUCCCUCCUGCGCCCGCGUUUUCUGCUCACCUGAACACAAGAAGCUGGACGGCCCCCCAAGGCUCCGUAGAGUCGCUUGGGGGGCUUUAUCACACUUGCUUUAACAGCGUUUCGCCAGAACAUUCGUAAUUUAAUCUAAAAAUUAGUGCAGGACCGUCCACGGGGGCUUGUAUGAUGAUUACAGAAGAUAAUGCUUGUAACAGGUACAUAAGGUACGUAAACGUUAAAGAAAUUAUAUUGUGAUUGUGUUAAAUUCCAGAGAAAUUCUGUCCGAGGUGAUUUUGUAGUACUAAUUGACGUUGGUUUCAGUAUUUCGAAAGGUGCUUUUUAUACACAUCCUUUUUGAUGUUCACAAAAGCAUGGGGGUUAGUGGGUCUAUUGAAUGAAGCAGGGUAGAAUAGACCAGUUCUAGAGUCAGACAUAUCCAGCUCAAAUACAGGGUACAUUAUUUAACUUCUCUAAACCUCACUCUUGUUCUCUGAUAAGAGCAGGGAAUUGUGAGGAUUAAAUGGAAUAAUGCUCAGUGAAGUGCUUAGCUCUAAUACUAGGCUGAUGGUGUUAAAUGACCUGCCAGCUCUCUGUGGAUAGCGGGUUUAGGUGGCAGGGGCAGAACCGGAACCACCAGAGUUCAGGCUCACACUUGACACCUAGGUGGCCAUGUUCCCUCUGAUGCCAUGCUGGGCCUGGUUAUUCAUACAUAGCUUUUAAGGUUACACGUCAAUCCUGUCUGUGUUUUUAAUAGGGGGACAGUAAUAGUACUAUAUCAUAGGAUUAUGUUCUCAAGCACUAAAACUGUCACUUCAUUUAGCAGUGUGUCUGAAGCAUCCCCCUUCUCCCAUACCACUUAAUUGCGUAGGUUUAUACACUCGUUCUGCAUAUAUUUAUCUGUCUACUAUGUAUAGACUGUCUUUUUGCAUAUGGCUAGGUAAAGUCUUCUCAGGAUUUGACUAAUUCGAUCCAAUUAAAAUAGUUUCGAAGAGUUCUCAAGCACUAGAAUGCAUUUCUCAAGUGACAGGUUCCAUGACAUCUUGGUUUUGCAUCAAUUAAUCCUCCUUUUCGUUUGCUUUAUGUGCUAGUCACUUGGUCUCUGCCUGGCUGUCCCUUACUUCAUGGGAAUCAUGGGAUGAGUCUAAAUGAAAGGGGACACUCUGUGGGAUGGAAAACUACAAAGGAAGGGCCUUACCCAGACCUGGCAUCUCACCUUAACCCAGCAGCCUUACCCGGGCGCCGCCCAGCAUUCAUUAGGCCCUCAAUAAAUACGGGCGUACAGAUAAGUGACAGCCCAGAACUCAAUACCAUGGGGAGUUAUAAGGACACACUGUGGGGUUGAUGGGGGGGGGGCGGGUCAGGACCUUUCUGAAAUACACAGACCUGAGGCUGUUGAAGGAAGUCUUCUUGCCUCUCCUGCCAGGAAUGCUGUCACUAUACGUGGGGCUCUCAGGCUGACAACUCUGCUGGGAACACCUGUUCCUCACCUGGGACGCCCACAGCCUCCUCUUGAGUGGAGCCUGCUUGUUAGGAUUGUGAGGCCCGGAAUAUGGGGCCUGUGGCAGGAGUCUGGGGUGCCAGGGUCUACAGUGGCUGUGAAGCAGCCCCCAAAGGACACUGGUAAUGUUAGAUCAUUUGGGUGGAGUUGAUUUCUCCAUCACACUGAUCUUGGGCCCUCUGACCAGUGGAAGAUGGGCAGACAAGAGGGUGCAUGAGUUCUGAACAGAGGCUUUGAGAAGCAGCCUGUGUUCCACUCUCCCACCAGGGCUUGUGCAGUCCGCCGUGAGGGGACCGGGCCCUGGUUGCCACUGCCUCUUCUGUCUGGGCCCUCAAAUGACAAGCAGGUCUCAGAGAAUGAAGCUGACCUGAAACCCAAGCCCAGCUAAGCCCAGGCAGGCAACAGCUCAUCCACAAACCCAUGAAUGAGAAGGAAAUGCUUGCUUUGUUAGGCACUGGAAGACUGUGUUUUAUGCUUUGUUAUUGCAGACAGACCUAAAACACCUGCACAAGGAAAAAUAUCCCACCAAAUGCCAAGAGCACCCUCCCCUUGCUGCUCUGAAAACACUGGACACAGUAAAUGAACAAGAAAUAGAUCGAAUCCCUGAUGACAGAGAGAUACAAGAUUGAAUCGAGCCCUUGCUAUGGAUAUUUCUUGUUGACCAUUUUGGUUGUGCUGGGCCAGGGAAGUCCCUUGGUGGAGCAAAUUUCUGAGGAGGAAGAGAAGAACACGGUGUCCUCAGGAACUGCCCCCCGGGACUUCUCUGUCACAUCUGAUCUCUGAAGAGAGAACCUGGGCUAGCAGCUCCCUUUCAGGAGGGAGGGUUGAAUCAAAAAAGUUCUGAACAUCUUCCAAGAUGAGGAAACUGAGGCCCAGAGAGGCAGAGCCUUGACAUAUAUUUAGCCUGAUAACCACUGAGAAAGGGAGAGACUGAGCCUACACUCAAUUCAUUACAAAAGCCAUAAUCCCAGUAACGAGGAUUUCUUCUUGUAACAAAGAAGACAGUAAAAUCAAAGGGGAAAUAUUUAAAGUGGAAUGAAAGGAAUUGGCACUAGAAAAGACGAUGUGGUGACUGGAGAAAAACAGGAAAAGAUUUUAGGAGUUCUCCAUUGUGGGGGGACUCUACAGUCACUGGCUUUGUCUCUUAUCCAGUUUCCUUCCCUAUUGUACUGACCCUGUGCUUCCUGGAUGUCUGCUCCAAACCAGCAGAAAGAGGAAAGGUUUCCACAUGCUAAUAUGUAAAUCCAAGCAGCCCGUGUCUGCACGGAGCAACCAGUGACUCCGUAAUGCUCAAAAGCAAGGUCAGAGGCAAAGCAAGCCUGCCUUCCCCCAGAUGCUUGGUGACUGUGUCCUAAUUAUCCACCCUGAAAGUCAGUGCCCGAGGGCAAGUAUGCAGCAGAGAACAGCCGGCACAGAAAUACCUCAGUUCGUGCAGCGGAAAAGACAGACGGUCAGAAGUUCUAAAUCUUGGACACCACUCUACCAGCAACGAGCUCUCAUUUUGGACAAGUUCUUCAUCCUCUCCCUUUAUAGAAUGAAGACGUUGGACAAGACUAAGCUCCUUAUCCAAUGGAGCUCCAAAGCACCUUAAUUGAAUGACCUUUUCCCCCAAACCCUCACUUGCCUUGCCCAUCUUUCCCCCCAAAUCUACCUAGCACAGCUCUAACCCUCAAUCAGCCCAACUCUUCUAAUCUUUGUGUCGCUGCCCCCAAGCAGCUGAGAAGCACGGGAGAAAGUGUCGCAACUGGGAAGGUGGGUGCCACCCCGGAUCCAGAGCGAGCAGCCUCCCCCUUCAUGCAGCAAAGGUCCUCCCUCAGUUUAGAGAGAAUAGAGGACCCCUCGGGUCCCUGCCUUCUGCCUGCUCUGCAGACUCACUGCCGCCACAAGUGAUCUCCUCUUCCCAUCUCAGUAGAAGAGGGAUCUUUCCCUGGACGAUGCUCCACUGAUUAGCAUUUCUAUGAGAUAUAACUUUCUUCCAUUUUACUGAGGAUUUCUUCAGCAUAAAAUGCUUAUACAAUCUAUUAUUUUUUAAAAGCCCUCCCUUGUGUGUUCUGAGGGCCGUUUGCUUUCUUGAGUUAAGCUCAAGAAAGGGUGGUCUGUGACAAUCAUGCCCACUUUCUUUCUUUCUUUCUUUCUUUCUUUCUUUCUUUUUUUUUUUUUUUUGCGGUACGCCGGCCUCUCACUGUUGUGGCCUCUCCCGUUGCGGAGCACAGGCUCCGGACGCGCAGGCUCAGCGGCCAUGGCUCACGGGCCCAGCCGCUCUGCGGCAUGUGGGAUCCUCCCGGACCGGGGCACAAACCUGUGUCCCCUGCAUCGGCAGGCGGACUCUCAACCACUGCGCCACCAGGGAAGCCCAUGCCCACUUUAUCUCAACUCCCUCCUUCAUUCACUUUUACCCGGCUUCUGCCCCGGCCACCCCAAGUGAACACCCCUCUCCAAAUUAUCACCUGCCUUAUUGCUAAAGCCAGAGGACAGGUUCUAGUCCUCAUGCCUAAUAGCACUUGCACUGAAACGUCCUUUCCCUUGGCUUUUAUAAUCCCCCUCUCUCUCUGUCUCUCUCGCUCUCUCCGACUUAAAUGUCGAUCUCCCCCAUCGACAGUGUCUCAGGCUCUUCUUUCCUGAUUGGAUGGAUUUACCAACUUUCUAGAUUUCGUUUUUCCAAAACCGAACCAGUCAUCGUGCUCUCUAAACCCUCUGUGUCCUUCUCAACUUGAGGUACCAGAAGUCACUUUAUCACCAAUAUCAAAAACCUUAACCCCAUUCUUGAAUUCACCAUUUCUUUCACCUUCAUUAAAGUUGGUCAUUGAAUCACAUCAGUUCCACCUCUGUAAUGUCACACUCGUUAUCAGGCAGAUCUGAUCUUGUCAUCACCCCCAACCACCUCUGAGACACCACACUGAAAGUUUUUAGAGGUUCCAGAGCACCGACAAGAUACAGUGCAGUUCUUUGCCAUGGACCUCAAAGCCUUCUGAAAGCCGUCCCUUACGUACUGCACUGAUCUCACGUCCAGCCACUCUGUGCUGUUGCACUCUGUAUUUCUGUCAAAACAAGUGCCUGUGGUCUCCAGAAUAUCUCAUGCCGGUACUCACCCAGGGGCUUUGCACAUACUUCUCCUUCUGCUAAUUUCUCUUCCUACUCCUCUGCUCCCCAUGUCCGCUGACUCGAGUCUACCUACACAGCUCCAGUGUAGGUAGACUCAGCUCCGGUGUCUUCUCCACAAAAAGUCUUUCUUGGUGGCCCAGUCUUUGUUGGUCUAGUCCACUAUCUGGAAUAUAGCAAAACGUUUCAAUGUUUUUGAAAGUUCAAUGAUCUGCUUCAAUGAUUUUCUCUUUUAUUUUAUUUUUUAAAAUUUUAUUUAUUGUUAUUAUUUGGGGGGCUGCACUGGGUCUUCGUUGCUGCACGUGGGCUCUUCUCUAGAUGCAGCGAGCAGGGGCUUUAGGAGCGUGGGCUUCAGUAGUUGUGGCGCACGGGCUUAGUUGCUCCGUGGCAUGUGGGAUCUUCCCGGACCAGGGCUUGAACCCGUGUCCCCUGCAUUGGCAGGUGGAUUCUUAACCACUACUCCACCAGGGAAGUCCCGUGAUUUUCUCUUUUAAACAAUUCAAUUUACCCUAGUUUCAUACGCCUGACCCCUAAAGUACCUCAGCUUUAUUCGUGCUUCACUUACUCUUCUUUGGGUCUUUAUCCCAUUUUCAGUGUAUCACUUUUAAUUCCGUCUUAAACAGUUCUUACAAAAUAUUUUCCAAAUAAAAAUGUUAAAGAGAAGCAGAUGAAGGCAUGGGAUUAAUAGAAAACUGUAAAAUGAAAACGAGAUGGGGCUGGGACCUAGUUUACCAUGGAAUAUCUGGCCCUCCCGCUAUUUCCCCCAUGUGAUAUUUCCAGAGCUUCUUCAGUUACAAUUCCUUAAAUUUUAAAUAUUGUAUAAAGCUUCUAGCUGCCUUGAAUGUAGGAGUUUUCAAAGAGGGCAUAAGUACUAUCAGGGUGUGUUUAAAUAUGAAUAUGAGUGUUAGUAAAGAUACAGGCUAAGCUUCUGUGAUGAAGAAACUCAAAAAAAAAAAAAACCCCUGGCUCCAACAAGGUAGAAAUUUAUUUCUCAUAUAAUAGCUGUAGCCAGAUAGUCCAGGGAGGCUGCGCAGGUCUACACAAGAGACCCAACUUCCUUCUGCCCUCUCGUUCUGCCAUGCUCUAGAACUGCUCUGUCCAAUAUGGCAUCCACUACCCAUGAGUUCCUACUGAGCUCUUGGAGUGUGGCUGGUUCAAACUAGGACACGCUGCAAUACAUGUACAAACACAAACCAGUUUUCAAAGACUCCGUAAGAAAAAAGAAUUCAAAUAUUUCAUUAAUAACUUUAUAUUGAUUGCAUGUUGAAAUAAUAUUUUGGAUGAAUUGGGUUAAGUAACAUGUUAUUAAAUCUCAUUUUAUCCAUUUUUUUUGUUUGUUUAGAAAAUCUUUAACCACACUUGUGGCUCACAUUAUAUUUUGCUUGGACAGUGCUGUUCUAGAAUGUAGUGUAUUAUCUUCAUCUAUAUGGUAAAAGCUGGCUCACAGUACCACAUAUGUGGUCAGAAAAAAGCAGGAAAGAAAAAUAGUAGAAGACAAAUCUCUAAGGAGAUGAUGUGCGAUCAGUUCACUCAGAUUCCAUUGGUGAGGGCUUAGUCACGUGACCCCAUCAAGCUGCCCAGAAUAUAAGGAAACGUAGUGUGUGGCUGGGCAGCCAUGUGCUGUACUGGAGAAAAAGGAGGGAGAAUGGAUUCCAGGGUAAUGUAUACUAACUACGUGGUCUCUGUCACGGGUAUGUUUCUAGAAAGUGUUAUCAGAGUUGACUUUGAGUAGAAGGGCAUUGAAGACGUUCCCUUGGUUGAGGGGAUGGGGAAAAGAGUAGAAGGACAUUCAGACAUCCAAUGAAAAAUAAUCAAAGUAAGAUAUUUCAACACCUGGUUUGAGAAAGUAAAAGAAGGAAGAAGAGGUAAACAACGGCUCCAGGAAAAUAGGGGGUUGGCCAAGCGGGAAGAUGUCCUUAUGUUCAAGGCAGUGCUUAAUAGAAGAAGGUAGGAGGGUGAAGGUAGUCAGCUUUCUGCUUCUGUAAGUGGGGCGGAGGAAGGUGGGAUAUGACUUUGCUCCCACAUGUUGGAGAAUUGAUACGGGAAAUCAAUAGUCAACUGAGAUCCUAAGAGGCUCAAGAACUCAAGACAGAGGAUGAUGAAGAGAGCGUGUAAUGGGCACAAAUGCACAUGGAUGAAUCUCCCAGACACAGUGUUGAACGACAGAAUCAAGACACCAAAGAAUAUAUACAGUAUCGUUCAAUUUAUAUAAUGUUCCCAAAGUGGCAGAUCUAAUCUAUGGUUAUAGACAGCAAAUGCUGAUUGCCUUGGGGAAGGGUAAUUCAUGAGACAGGCUUCUGAGUUGCUGGUAAUGCUCUAUAUCUUGAUCUGGGUGAUGUUUAUAUGGAUGUGUUGCUUCGUAGUAAGUCAUUAUUCAUGUGUCAGUGCUUGUCUGUAUUAAUAUUAUAUUCAAUAAAAACUAUAGGGGGCUUCCCUGGUGGCGCA